UGGAUCAGUGAUGACCACUGAUGAUGGAUGAUCUUGGGAUCAUGACUACAGGUCUUGGAGUCUGAGGUUCAC
rnacentral:snoRNA from 1 species